ACGACACUUAUUUUUUUCUUUCAUUCUUAUAUGCGAAUGCCCAAAAUGCAAGUGACAAUCAAAUGAUACUCACAGUUCAGCUUCUCCUUCUCCAGUAUCGAAGCAGCGAGACAAUCAUCGAUUUGGCUGGUUCUUUUGAGAUUUGAGUGGAUAAGAAGAACGAAACACCUCAAAAACGACAAUAACGAACAGGUCCAGGAUUGGAACAUUUUCAUUGAACCAUUGAUUGACAAUUUUCAAAGAACCAGCAAAUGCAAUUGUUAUUCAGUUUUUGAGUUGCAUAAGUGAGGAUUUAGCAGAUGCUGCUGAUGUAAUUCUCCACCAUGUUCUAUUACAUAUGCAAGUAUAGGGAGAGUCUUAUUGGGAGUAGUUGGCGAACAUAGUAUGGACAAGAGUUGGAUUUAUCGAUCAAGAGAGCAUAUAAACAAUCUUAGAAGAUAAAUCAUUGCAAGCAAGUCAAAGACAUAGAACGCAUCCAUAGCGAAAACUUUCUCAAAUGGUUUGACAAUCAUGUCAUGGAGAUGCAAUAAAGAAGGCCUGAGUUGGUCUCAGAUGACCUUAGAUGGUUGGCUCUUGGUCCUAAUGAUAUUGCUAAAAGGGAAUUUGCAAGGAACAACUAUAUGAUCUAACUAUGUAGGCUCUCAAGGAAAGGAUUCUUGGCUCAAGGCUACCAAUGAGGAUCUUUGCAAGGAACUUCAUGAAUAUCAUAACAGAUGUGCUGCAUCAGAGAAAGGUCCCUUCAUGUUCUGGUCAUCCAGAAACUUAUUCAGAGAAAAGAAGUUGAAGACUGCUCGCUCACUCAAAGCUAAUGUACAACGAAAGAAGAAUGACUACACUACUAUUUUUUAUAUUAUAUGAAUUGUUUGUCUUGUUGUUUUGUGUGAUUUCUAUGUCUCAUGUCUAUCCAUUCUCUCAAUUCAAGAAUUCACAUCCAUAACACGAGUGUGAUACGUUAUGAGUUAUUUUUGCUCCUGUAUCAUGUCCUGCUACAUCCAAGGGCAUUUUCAAAUUACAAUCAAAUUUUUAUUUAAGUAGCAUUUAUUAUUUUUUACCUUUACAAGGAUUUGAAAUAAAAUGCCUACAUUUAUUACCUGAAUUGAGAUUUGUAUUAAUUAAUAUGAGAAUCAUUCACUUCCUACUCUAAGAAAAGAAAAGAGUUUCCAAUACUUUUGAAAUAAGAAUUAAUACAAAUUCUCAUAUGCAUUCCUAUGAAACAAAUUCAAAGAAAAAGAGAAAUCCAUCUAUAAAAACAAUUCACUUCCUACUCUAAGAAAAGAAAAAAAAAAGUUCAUCUUGACAUUCCAUCUAUUACAUUAUUCUCCCAUUCCUAUGAAGUUGAAAACAAUUCACUUCCUACUCUAAGAAAAGAAAAAGAACAAAUUCUCAUAUGCAUUUGUAUUAAUUAAUAUAAAAUGCCUACAUUUUUAUAGAUGGA